UGUGCCUGUGUGCAUCAUUCAAAAUUAGAGAAUGUAAUUUUGAAGUAUCAAGUCUCAAUCCAAGAUUAUGAAUGAAUAAAAUAUAGAAUUACGGUGGAAAAGGGGGGGGGUAUGACCUUUAUCGGAACUCCGGGAUCGGGUGUUUUUAAGCUCGGGAUUUCGGGAUUGACCCUUUCGGGAUCCGGGAAUUCUAUUUCCGAAUUUCGGGUAGUUGGGAUUUAAAUUUUUUUUUAAUUCGGGACCUCGCCGGAUUUCGUGUUUUUAAGGCCGGGAUUUCGGGAUCUGGAUCCUUCCUUCCCUCCUCCCUCUAUUAUGGUUAAAGAAAAAAGGUCGGGGAAGUUUUGUGAUACUUGUAACUGCAAUUUAAUAUUUAGUGGAAUGAGAGGUGAAAUGUGUUCAGACUAUUACAUUUCGAUUUUUUUUUUUUAAAUUUAACCAAAGUUUACUGCAAGGGGUGUUUAACGACCUCGAUGAUUAUCCAUGAGGAUCUCGCACUCGGUCAGCUCUAGGUUUUCACCUAGUUCAUGAUCAUACAAGAAUUGAGAAGCCUGUGGUUUACUAGUCUUAUAAUAUGAGACUUUGGAGUUCAUAUAAUUUACAUUCAACGUUUUUAUCGAAUAUUUCAAGGCUUUUUUACUAUCAAUGUUGAUCCCCUCUUCCAAUUGAUUGGAUAAAAUGAAUGGAUUACCGCCCCUAUUUCAAACUGAAGACCUAUAAACUGACUGGUAUUCCAAUUUGUUAAAAGAAAUAAUUGGUAUCUCUAUUGAUUCAAUACCGUAAUGCCGAAAAACAAUCAUUUGUUUCCACGAAUUCCGAACAGCUAGAAAUAUAUUCCCGAGUUUCAAUUUGAGUAACUCGAAUAAUUCAAGCCCUUUCCAUGUCCGAUUUUCUCCCACACGAGAAAUGUAGCAUUCGUACAUCAGCUGAAUAAAACGACUGAAUUAUUCGGGUUACAAUUUGUGUAGAUCCCGAAUGCACAUAAAAGUAAAGGUCCAGUCCGACUUUCGGAAUGGACUGUUGUAGAUUUCAGGUUGAUUUCUAGAAAUAAAAAUCAUACAAAAAUGUUUCACGCAAAUAUUCGUCUUCAGACGUGUAAAGUUAUACAACGGUUACUAGCCGGUUUGGAUUGUGAUAAAAAGAAGCGCAUGCAAUGCAUAAAAUAUAUAAUGUCGUGGCUCAGGGAUGUGUUGAAUUAUAGAAAUGCUUGUGCGGCACAAAGAUUAGAUUAAUUUACCCAAAUGUACUAAGAAUUACCACACAACUUAAAUUUACUUAAAAAUUGAUUUGUUAUCCUGUGCCAGAGAGAUGGCUGAUAUUCUGAGAAGAGACCUUGAUGAAAUGAAGUUUUAUGGGAACAAAGAUUUUGAAAACACGUUGCAGUGUUUAGAUUUUAACAAAAAAUAAGGCACCAAAGUCGAAAAUAGUUCUAGUUCAUAAUGAAGAAAAUGUCAACCGUUUUCUAGCUUGGCGAUCUCCGCACGCACCCGAAUAUAAUAGACAAAUACAAUACAAUAGUACACAAAACGUAGCAUAAAGAACUAAAGACCGAGCAACACGAACUCCAACAAAACAGUAUAUAUUUCAUACAAGUAUAGGACUAUAUGAAGCGUCGUAACUGUUGCGGCGACGUCAAUAACGUUGUCGUUGUUUUUUGUUUUUUUACACUCAAGAUUCAACUUUAACAGGGUAUAGAUUGAAAAGUAGCACGGUUGCUAAGGACUUUCUUUGCACCAAUCGAUUCCUCAGACAUUUUAGAAUCGUCUCAUAAAUUUAAAAAAAAAUCGAUUGUCUAAUAUAAUAGAAAAUCUUGGAAAUGUAACAAUUCCUGCCGAAUUUCACGAUUUUCCCUAUAUAUCCUUUGUAAUUUUGGUGUAUGAUGCUGGUAACUUCAACAGCUCGUAUCUCAAAAACGAAAACGGUUACCCCCUUUUUUAUUUUAUUUUCCGAUUUAUUUUUACAAGCAGAAUCUACAUGUAAAAUUUAAAAAGAAUCCAUUGUGUAGUUUAAUUACGUACACUUCGCCUUAA
rnacentral:lncRNA from 1 species